GAUGAACGCUAGCUACAGGCUUAACACAUGCAAGUCGAGGGGAAACGACAUCGAAAGCUUGCUUUUGAUGGGCGUCGACCGGCGCACGGGUGAGUAACGCGUAUCCAACCUGCCCAUCACUUGGGAAUAACCUUGCGAAAGUAAGACUAAUACCCAAUGACAUCCCACGAAGACAUCUGAAUGGGAUUAAAGAUUUAUCGGUGAUGGAUGGGGAUGCGUCUGAUUAGCUUGUUGGCGGGGUAACGGCCCACCAAGGCAACGAUCAGUAGGGGUUCUGAGAGGAAGGUCCCCCACAUUGGAACUGAGACACGGUCCAGACUCCUACGGGAGGCAGCAGUGAGGAAUAUUGGUCAAUGGGCGAGAGCCUGAACCAGCCAAGUAGCGUGCAGGAUGACGGCCCUAUGGGUUGUAAACUGCUUUUAUAAGGGAAUAAAGUGGGUCUCGUGAGACUUUUUGCAUGUACCUUAUGAAUAAGGACCGGCUAAUUCCGUG
rnacentral:rRNA from 1 species